GGGAGGGACGUUGGAAAAUUGGUGGAGAAAGAGAAAGGGUUAGGGGAAUACAAGAGAAAGAGCCCCCAACAACGAAAUAAUAAAAGUGUACAUGCCAGUGGUGGCAUUUGCCUCGUUAGUCACCAAAGUCUGGGAGGGUCUGGGUUUGAGAUAACUGGCUAAGUCUCUUAAACUCUCAAUAAUCCUGGGCCUGCGGAUGGCGUUGCGGAGGUCUGCACAUUUUCCUGAGGUUCUCCAAGUUUCUCCUCGGCUGUUGUGGCUCCAAAGAGGAAGAAAACAACGAAAACAGGGCCCAGAACGUUCAUGGUCGCAGUGCGGUACGAUGCGCCGCCUCUCCGUGUGUGUCUCGCGAUAUACUGAGGCCAGAGGAGAUAUAAAGGCACCAGCGUAGUUAGGACAUGGAGCAGUGGGCUUAAACCUUCGAAAACUAAUAGCAAAUAGUAAUUAUAAUUAUCGGUUGAAGUAGUCCUCUGUUGCUUCCUAUUCAACGUAAACCAAAAAUGAGGUGCGACUAGAUUUAAUCACUGGGAUGAUCACUGUAGCUUUGAUAUAAAAUAAAUGCCGAACUGA